rnacentral:rRNA from 1 species
GACAGAGGGUGCGAACGUUGCUCGGAAUCACUGGGCGUAAAGGGUGCGUAGGCGGGUCUUUAAGUCAGGGGUGAAAUCCUGGAGCUCAACUCCAGAACUGCCUUUGAUACUGAAGAUCUUGAGUUCGGGAGAGGUGAGUGGAACUGCGAGUGUAGAGGUGAAAUUCGUAGAUAUUCGCAAGAACACCAGUGGCGAAGGCGGCUCACUGGCCCGAUACUGACGCUGAGGCACGAAAGCGUGGGGAGCAAACAGG